rnacentral:misc_RNA from 1 species
CAUCCUCAAAACCUUCUUGGUUUCUUGACCAGGAAGGCUUUUGGACUAUGGAGGCUUUUGCUGGCCCUUCCUUUGUUGGAGCCAGCUCCUCUGAAAUGAAUUAGUGGGGUUUGCUUUGCCUAUCCUUGACGUGAUAAGAUGUUUUCUACGUCUUGGGUUUUGCACCGUUUCCUGCUUCUAACCGUCUCAUAGAAGACAAUGGUCAAGUGAUCGCCACUUGACCCACAAA